CCAGUUUGGGCUGCGCUUGCCUCCUCUCCUUUUCUAUGAAGACCGAGGCUUAGCCCCCUGAUCGUCAAGCCGCGAGAUGCGUGAUCUCUCUGCACAAGUGUCUGGCAGGCCGAGGUGCACCUGUUCAUGUCACUCUGGAGUAAAUUUAGCUGUAAAGGUAUCAUUGACAACCAGACCUUUGUCAGUGCUGGCAAAAGAACACAGAAUUACUUUCCUCCCCUCCCCCCCUCCAAAGCCCCUCCACUACUAGUUCCAAUGGAAAAUAUCCAAUCGGAAGUCUAUCCAAAAAUCAUUCCUAAAAAAUGAAAUUGCUUUCAUAUGGUAUAAAAAAGUAAGUUUCCUCAUUUCACACAGGCUUUAAAAUUACAUUUCCAAGAAUAAUCUUGGAACAAGACAAGUUUUUGUUCAAUUAAUUGUGGCUGGAAACUUUUUAAUGGAAACAUAGCACACACUUACUUCAUUUCAGGUUAUUAAAUUGUGUUAAGCAUUAAAGUUAGUUGCAAUUCUUUGCUGUAGCUCAUUUGUUCUUCUCAAUCCAAAGAAAUAUUAGAAGGUUAAAACUUAUCACAUAGGAGGGAUUAAUCAUGCUACCAAAAUUAGAAAGCAUGUAGCUCUGUAAGACCGAGUGUGGAAAUUGUGUGCUCAUAGCACUUAAACUAUUGGGAAUCUAGGCUUCCCCUGCAGCACUUGACAUGGCAAUUCAUGUCUGUGGAAAUCCCUGGUAGUUGGAAGCUGGCUAAAGCUAGGGUUCUCUUAUUCAUUGGUUAAGGGCACCACUUUCAGAUAAAAACAUAGACCUGAAUAGCAUCAUCCAGUAUCCAAGGAAACCAUGACUUCUAGACUGAGGAAAAUGAGAGAAGCAAGAAACAUCAGCUCAUCAAUCCAGAAUGUCAGAGAAAGCAAUAUUUUGUUUUUUAAAGGAAAAAGGCUUGGACUAUUCAUGGGCCUUUCAAUAUAGUCCUACUUAAUCUACCCUACUUUUGAAUUAAGAUCUAGUCCUAUUAGGCAUUCCUUUUCUUCUUUGCUACCCUCACAAACAACUACUUUGUCUCCCCCAUCUCUUUUCUCUAGAUCAUUUUCCCGGUCUUUUUUCUAUUAAUACACAUUGUGCUGUGUCUCAAACCCUCACUGUGGCCUUCAGAGGUGAACACACAUGAAGACUUGAGCACAGGACCAGUAUAUGUAUUUAGCUCUGGGUGUAUCACUGUCACACCCCACACCACAUGGAAAAGGUGUUUCUGGAUCCCAGGAGCUCUCUAGUUCUUCAUGAAGCUCCCCGCUGUGUUCACUUGCCACCUGACUUCUUAUUGUAUCUGUUGCCUAGAUGUCCCCAGUACCUGUCUACUUGUCCUGCCAGACCACCAGCUCGGUCUGGUCUCAGGGUACAGCUGUUUCUCUCCAUUACUUUCUUCCAUGAUUGACAAUUUCUGGAUAACCUAUGGAAAUCUGUGGUGACAACUUUGAACGACUCUGAGUUUUGUAGCUGGCUCCUUGGAAAUCUCCAGUGAAAUUCCCAGAGUGAUAAGGGCUAAAGAAGUUCAAAGGACCAGUAGAGAUUGCCACAGAAACUGCAGCAUUUUUAAAGCAGUAUUGCUGUUAGGCUGUGAACUACAAUGGGCACAAAGAAUGAUUCUCCCUUUUAAAAAUGCUAUGUUGUGACUCUCGCUACUUGCCUCACUGGUUGUCACAAUUGUGUACAGACAAAGUUCUUCAGUGUGUGGUGCAUGGCUCCACACUAUUCUGCCACUCAAGUGAAGGGUAUGCCUAGGGCCUUAGUUUGUGUAAACAUUGUUUUGCUGACUAUGAAUUUUGAACUACUAAUGUUACCACCUUCCACUUAGUGAUAAUUUACUCUUCUAUUCCAUGCUGAUGUUUUAGAUCAAGAUUUUAUGUUAAAAUUUAGGCACUUUUAUGUGCAUUCCUGCUUGCUUAGAUAAAAUUAGAACACAUGGCUUAAUUAGUAAGAUGUGUAUGUUCAUGAGGGAAGGCACACUUUCCACCAUUUUCCCCCCAUUUCCAGAAAAUUGCAUUAUGAAAAUAUUGCUUUGGAAAAGGAACGGAGCCAUUCCCUGAGUGGAAUUUAUUAUAAUUUAGCAGUUAUAUAAUUGUAAUUGAGCCACUCUAACAAAGGCUACCAUUCAUUUCUGUUGAAGCAUCAUCUAAAAAAAUCUAGCAACAUCUACUUUUGGAACUGAUGCUGGUCUACUGACUAGGUAACCAUGCCUGAACACAAAUUUGAAGCCCUUUGGGAACUAAAUAUUGUUCUCAUUGUUUAUUAACUAUCUGAAUUUCUAAUAUCCAUUCUUUGAGGUCUUAAGAGAUGAUAGUAUUCAAUGGAAAUACAUGUUGUAGGGAUAACAUGCUGAACUGCUACAACUAAUACUUGAAUGAUAAUAAGUAGUCAACUUGAUGAGAAGUAAUGUUUAGUCAGCUUUUUUGCUGCUAUGACCAAAAGAGCUGAAAACUUUUCCUCAUUAAAGGAGGAAAAGUUUAUUUGUGGGCUCACAGUUUCAGAGGUCUCAGUUCAUAGAUGUCAGUCACCAUUACUUGGGGCUCAAAGUGUGGCAGAGCAUCAUGGUGAAAGUGUUUGGCAGAAGACAGCAGCUCAAGAUGUGGCAGCGUGGAAGCAGAGAGAGAUUAUCCGGUCUCCAGGGACAAAAUAUAUACCCUAAAAGCACCCCCCUAGAAACCUACUUCCUUUAGCCACACAAUAACUGCCUAGGGUUGCCAUCCAGUUAAUACCAUUCAGGGGAUUAACACACUGAUUAAAGUUAAGUCUCUUAUAAUCUAAUCAUUUCACCUCUUAACAUUCUUUCAUUGUUUUACACAUGAGCUUUUGGGGGACACUUCAUAUCUAAACAAUAAAAAGUAGGCCUAUGCAAAUAGUUUAUAGAGAUGUCACCUGGAAGUGACUGAAAAAGUAGAGAGAGGUCUGAAAGUGAGAGCUACAAACUCUAAUGUUUGUCUACUGUCUGUUUAUUAAAGUUAUAAAAAUUUGUUAAACUCUGGUUAUAUAAUUAUUUUGCUGAGCCUUGCUGGAACCAUCUUUAUUUUUUUUAAAAGAAUAUGUAUGUUCAUUAAUUUUUUAAAAUAAUAAAAAUGGACAGACCAAUAAUGAGUUCAAGUCAGUAAUAAAAAGUCUCCUAUCAAAGACAAACCCAGGACCAGAUGGCUUCACUACUGAAUUCUAAAAAAGCACUUACAGAAAAACUAAUAUUAAUUCUUAAAGUACACAAAACAUUGAAGUGGAAAGAAUUCUUUCAAACUAAUUCUGUGAGACCUGUGUUACCUUGCUACCCAAAUCAGAUAAGAACACAACAAAAAAAUAAAACUUCAGGCCAAUGUCCUUGAUGAGCAUAGAUGCAAAAAUCCUCAAUAAAAUGCUAGCAAACUGAAUCCAACAGCACAUUAUAAUGUUAUUUACCAUGAUCAAGUGGUACUCAUCCCAGGGAUGUAAUAAUUAUUCAACAUUAGCAAGCCAAUAAAGGUGGUGCAACAUAUCAACAGAAUGAAGGAGAAAACUAAUAUGAUCAUCUUAAUAGAUGCAGAAGAUGAAUUUGAUGAAAUUCAACAUCCAUCAUGAUAAAACUCUGAGCAAAUUAGGUAUAAAAGGAACAUACUUCAACAUAAUAAAUGUCAUAUAUAAUAAGAUAACAGUUUAUAUACAGAAUAGAGAGAAACUGAAAGUUCUAAGAUCUGGAACAAAACAAGGAUGUCCACUUUUGCCACAUUUACUCAAAAUCAACAUAUAAAAAUCAAUAGUGUUGCUAUAUACCAGUAGCCAAUUAUCUCAAGUAGAAAUCAAAAAAGCAAUUUCAUUUAUUAUAGCUAAUAUAUAUAUAUGAUUAAAAUUAUGGAAAUUAGUGAACUGGGCAUGGCUGCACAUGACUAUGUGUAAUAAUUCAGGAGACUGAGACAGGAGGAUUUCAAGUUCAAGGCCAAUUUGAGCAACUUGGAGAGACCCUAUCUCAAAAUAAAAAAAUAUAAAAGGCUGGGUUAAAUCACCAGAACCAGAAGAAAAAAAGACAUUGGUGAAAUUAUUUGAAGAUGACAAAGAAAAAUGGAAUAAAAAAAUUUUGCAGAUUGCAAGAAUCAAUACUGUUAAAACAUCCAUACUUUCCAAAGCAAUCUAUGAAUUCAAAGCAUUUUUUAUCAAAAUACCAAUAACAUUCUUCACAGUAUGUGAAAAUCCCCCCAAAUCUGUGUAGAAUCACACACACACACACACACACACACACACACACACACACACACACCCCUGAUAGUCAAAACCAUCUUGAGCAAAAAGAACAAAGCAGGAGACAUUAUACCUGAUUUCACCAUAUUCUACAAAACUACAGUCAUCAAAAUAUGAUUGAGCUUUAUGAUUGAGCUAUAUCACACCUGGGUAUAUAUCCAAAGGAGUCAAAGUCAGCAUACUUCAGAGAUACCUGCAUACCCAUGUUAAUUACAGCACUAUUUAUAAUAGCCAAGUUAUAGAAUCAGCCUAGGUGCCCAUUGAUGGAUUAGUAGAUAAAGAAAAUGUGGUAUACAACAGACUAUUAUUAUUCAGCCAUUAAAAAGAGUAAAAUCACAUCAUUUGUAAAAUGGAUGGAAUGGGAGAUCAUAAUGUUAAGCCAAGUAAGUCUGACUCAGAAAAAACAAGUAUCAUAUCUUUUCCCUGUAUAGGGGUGGAAAGAUAUGAAAGUUGCAGGGAUAUUAUUAGUGAAGAGGAAGGGGGUCAGGAGGAAGGUAGAAAAGAGGACAAGAGAGAAUAAUAAGAAGUAUACACAAUCAAAGUAUGUUAUUUGCAUAUGCCAUAAUGAAACCCAUUGUUCCGUAAAAUUAAAAUUCACUUAAAAAAGAAAAACAACAGAUAUUGGUAUAAAACUAGACACACAGACCAUUGGAACAGAAUCAGCCAAGAAGCAAACCCGUGCUUCUAUAGCUAACUGAAUUUCAACAAAUUGGUGAAAGGGAAGUCUUUUCAAUAAAUGGUGUUGAAAAAUUAGAUAACCAAAUGCAGAAGAAAAAUAAAACUAGAAAAUGUGAUGGAUAAGCAUACUAGAAUACUAUUCAGCCAUAAAAGAAAGAAAUCCUGUCUUUUGUGAUAACACUGAUGGAACUGAAGAUCAUGAUGUUAAGGGAAAUAUACCAGACACAGCGAGACAAACAUUGCAUGAUCUCAGUCAUACGUGAAAUCUAAGAUUGUUGAUCUCAUAGAAGUUGAGAGUAGAAUGGUGGUUACCAGAGGCUGAUGAAAGUAGGAGGAAGGAAGGGAUGGGACACCAUACUUCCAUAGGAGCAAGAAGUUCUGCUGGGCUACUGUGUAGUAGGGAUACUAUAGAUAACAAUAAGGUGCAGCAUAUUUCUAAAAGCUAGAAGAAAAAAUUUUGAAUAUUUUCAUCAAAAGUAUGUCUACAUAUGCCUAAAGAGAGAUGUUUAACCUGAUUUAAACCUAACAAUUGCAUAUAUGUGAGUGAAUAUCCCAUGAUGCCCCAUAAAUAUAUAAAAUUUUUAUAUUUGUGUGUAUCAGCCAAACAUUGAAUCAAAAAUCAUUAAAGUGUUAUGAUUUACCCAA